UGCGUAGGAGGUUGGCAAAGUCGGGUGUGAGAUCUCACCGCUUAACGGUGAAAUUGCGCUCGAUACUGGUUGACUAGAGUAUCGGAGGGGAAAGCGGAAUUCCUGGUGUAGCGGUGAAAUGCGUAGAUAUCAGGAGGAACACCAACGGCGAAGGCAGCUUUCUGGACGAUAACUGACUCUGAGGCACGAAGGGCUAGGGAGGCAACG
rnacentral:rRNA from 1 species